AUUGAACGCUGGCGGCAGGCUUAACACAUGCAAGUCGAGCGAGCGGCGGACGGGUGAGUAAUGUCUGGGAAACUGCCUGAUGGAGGGGGAUAACUAGUGGAAACGGUAGCUAAUACCGCAUACCAUCAGAUGUGCCCAGAUGGGAUUAUCUAGUAGGUGGGGUAAUGGCUCACCUAGGCGACGAUCCCUAGCUGGUCUGAGAGGAUGACCAGCCACACUGGGACUGAGACACGGCCCAGACUCCUACGGGAGGCAGCAGUGGGGAAUAUUGCACAAUGGGCGCAAGCCUGAUGCAGCCAUGCCGCGUGUAUGAAGAAGGCCUUAGGGUUGUAAAGCACUUUCAGCGGGGAGGCGUUACUCGCAGAAGAAGCACCGGCUAACUCCGUGCCAGCAGCCGCGGUAAUAC
rnacentral:rRNA from 1 species